rnacentral:lncRNA from 1 species
GCGCGCGCCAGCCGGCCCCCGGCCCUGCGGUGCCGCCGGGAGGGUCCUCGCAACACAUGGCUGAUGUGGGACUGAGACCUGCCAGCUCAUUUCAUACGUGGGGCAGGGAAGGGCCAGCGCAGGGUACGGCCUUCCAGGCACGGCUCGCCUUGAGCCUGCUGCCCCGGGUGACAGGGAGGUCAAAGGCUCUGUCAUCACGGUGAGGCAGGCCACCCGGGGACAUCGGUGGUUCAGGUUAGGGAUCUGGGGGGGAAAGAGGUACCCCAGGGCUGGAUAAUGGCGAGAAGAUGGCCCUGUCCGUCUUGCGCGCCUAGGGCUCUCACUUUGUCUGCGUGCCUUCUCCCUACAGGUCCUAUAGCAAACAGAGGUCCGCAAUCGAGAGGGAGUAUGGGCAGGGCUCUUCUUUUAAAUAUCAGAGCCUGGUUUUUGUUCCUUGAAGCAUCCUCUGCUGUUUCCCUUAAAAAGAUGCUGCAGCAGAGUUUUCGCAGGACAGCGGUCCCAGCUGCCCAGCAGCGUGCCACCUCGCUCCCAACUCUGCCUUCUUCCGUUCUGCCUCGCGCGCGCAUGGCAUCCAUCCCUCUGCGACGUCGCUCCCCUGCCCUGCUCCGGCCUAACCUCUUCUUCUCUCUCCUGGCGGCCGCUGGGUGCUGGCAGGUGGCUCCAGGGAGCCCUCGGCCCGGAGAGCGCAACUAAGUCCCUGCUCAGCCCCGCGCACUGCAGAGACUGGCAAGCCAGUUCCAGAAGAGAGACUGGCAGCGGGCCCGCAGUGAAGCCAACGACUCGAGGUGGGCUGCAGGCGAGGUGGCUGGGGCAGGGUGGCGAGGGGCUGGGGGUAGCUGUGGCCCAGAGGUCGAAGGUGGCCAGGUACGUGGCCUCCCAGCCAGGAGCAUGGCUGGCAGGACAGGGGCUAAUUCAGACCAGGAGUCAAGUGCCUGGCAGUGCCUGAGAGGCUCUCCCUCCAGAGAUGCAGCCCUGGUGAGGCCAUCUCUAAGGAUGUGGUACCCAACUCGGAAGAGACUGCAGGGGUGGGGUGGCUAGUGAUGUCCUGAGCCGAGAGCUGG